rnacentral:rRNA from 1 species
AUUGAACGCUGGCGGCAGGCCUAACACAUGCAAGUCGAACGGAGCGGCGGACGGGUGAGUAAUGCCUAGGAAUCUGCCUGGUCGUGGGGGAUAACGUCCGGUAACGGGCGCUAAUACCGCAUAUUCUCAGCUGAGCCUAGGUCGGAUUAGCUAGUUGGUGGGGUAAAGGCCUACCAGGGCGACCAUCCGUAACUGGUCUGAGAGGAUGAUCAGUCACACUGGAACUGAGACACGGUCCAGAGUCCUACGGGAGGCAGCAGUGGGGAAUAGUGGACAAUGGGGGAAAGCCUGAUCCAGCCAUGCCGCGUGUGUGAAGAAGGUCUUCGGAUUGUAAAGCACUUUAAGUUGGGAGGCGUUACCAGCAGAAUAAGCACCGGCUAACUUCGUGCCAGCAGCCGCGGUAAUUC